UUUUUGAGCUAGCUAGCUGCUACUGCACACAGUGAGUGAUGUUCAUCACAUAACUACUUUGUAGUUUUAUCCAGCUCCACAAAAUGUGUUGGCUCUUGACAAAUUUUUUAAAUGUAUAUAAAGAAUGACUAAAAAAACUUAGCAAAAUCAACAAAAGAACAUCGCUAAUUUUUCCACAUAUAAUAUUUUUCCAUGGAAAUCAAUGUUCUCUUUCUUAUUGUUUACAGUAAAAAAGAACUAAAAUAUAUAAAGAAAGAUGAAAUUAAAUAGAUAAAAAGAACUUUUUUUAAACUUAUUCUAUUUAUUUAGAUUGCUUGCCCAGUUUAAAUUAUUGUAACCUUGGGGGAGCGAUUUGUUGCUCUGGUGUUAUUUUCUAAUUGAUAGGCCUGAUGAAAUUUUUAAUUUAGGAUUUUAAAAUUUAAUAGAUCGUGUUGUUUUUGUCUACAUGCUGUGUCUACACGCUCUUCAACCAACAGCCAGGGCAAUAAAACUCUCUUUGCAUGAAAUGUUUGCAAACAUUCUUGUUUAUUUCGGUGCUUUUAACUCCCAUUAAUAGGUGUUGUAUUACCUAAUCGUCUAAUAUUAGUUCUAAAUUUCUAUUUAGUGAAAUAUUUAAAAAUGGAAAGUGAGCUGGUAAAUGUAAGUAUUUUCAUAGUUCGGUUUUUACCUUUUCAAUACUAAAAUUGCAUUUCUUUAAUGCAAAAUUUUGCAUUCAUGUAAGGCUUUUUUUUAUUAAAAUUUAAUACUGAGGAUGGUGUUCAUGUUUCUGUAUUAUAUCUUUAAAAUAAUUGCUAAAGUUUUGCCACAUAAAGGCGGUCUUACAUAGACUAGCUGUUGUUAUUGGCUUGGUAUUCUGACUGCCAUAGAUUGUAUUAUGUAUAUGAACUCAUUGUCAUCUCAUUAUACGAAUGAGAUAAAGGCUACCUCUACUACUUUUAGCAGCCAAAUAAGAUAAUAUAAUACUUAGUUGGAUUAGCAUACAAGAAUUAGCAUAUGAAAGUAAUCAAUUAAUUUGAGAGAUAUCUUUAUGUAGGAGUUAAAGCAGAGAAUUGAUACCCUGGAGGGGAAAAUUGAGGCUUUAGAGGAGAAAGUUAAAGUAAGUUAUGCACUAGAAAUAAUUGCUUUGAAGUGUAGAAUGUGAUAAAACAGUAACAGUAACUUAGUGAACGAUUAGAAGUUUAGAAUGUGGCAUUUCCACAAUUGUCUUAUUUUUUAGGAGUUAUCAGCAGAGAAAUUGGAUUUGUCGUGGGACGCCUUCCGGGACUUUUGUUCCCAAAAUAAGACUUUGGGAGCUUUUAUAAGCUCCCAAAAUUACAAAUCUUGGAAGGCGUCUGGUGGCUCACGCACCUUUACACAGGAGGAUGAUAUGCGGGAUCAGGCGAAGUUGAAGAGGAAGAACGGUGGAAGAGGGAGAGGAGGAGGAUAUAGGUGGUAGAAAAAAAAAUGCAAAAACUUGCUGUUCUUAAUUCAUUCCUCUCAACCCAUCCCCAGACUUUUCUUCUUUUAAAAAUUUUCUUCUGCACAACAGUAUGCGCUUUUAAUAUUUUGACGUAGUAUAUAGUUAUAUAGACAUAUAUAGUUAUAUAGACAGUCAGCAAGCAUAACUUUAGGUUAUAAAAUUCUUUAUUAAGCUAUUAUAAAACAAUUUGCGUUUUGUCAUAUUAUUUGUGUCGUGCGUUUUUGUUCCAAGAUUCUGCAUAUAAUGUGCGUAAUUACCUUAUUCCAUGAAAUUACCCAGUUAUGAUUUUACACGCUUUUUUAUAAGAAUAUAAUUAUAAGAAUAUCGAGGCUGAGAAAUGGGUUAAAAUUAGAAAUAUCCUAAGAAUAUACCCAGGCUCAACUUCUUGUUUUAGAUAUGAAAAUUUGUGUGAUGCGCAGAUUUUGAUUAGAGGUUUAUUUCUUAUACUGUAUGUUUAUUUUCUUGUCGGAUCACCUGUCGUUUUCA